CAAUAGCGUAUAUUAAAGUUGUUGCAGUUAAAAGCUCGUAGUUGGAUUUGUGGUGUGUCCAGUCGGCCUUUGCUCUUUGAGUGAUUGCGCUGUACUGGUCUGCCAUGUUUGGGUGGAAUCUGUGUGGCAUUAAGUUGUCGUGCAGGGAUGCCAUCGUUUACUGUGAAAAAUUAGAGUGUUCAAAGCAGGCUUAUGCCGUUGAAUAUAUUAGCAUGGAAUAAUGAUAUAGGACCUUGGUACUAUUUUGUUGGUUUGCGCACUAAGGUAAUGAUUAAGAGGGACAGUUGGGGGUGAUUGUUAUUCCAUUGUCAGAGGUGAAAUUCUUGGAUUUUUGGAAGACAAACUACUGCGAAAGCAUUUACCAAGGAUGUCUUCUUUAAUCAAGAACGAAAGU
rnacentral:rRNA from 1 species